rnacentral:rRNA from 1 species
CGGAGCAAUCCGGUAUCCCUGGCGAACGGGUGCGUAACACGUGGGUAAUCUACCCUCGAGUCUGGGAUAACCUCCCGAAAGGGAGGAUAAUACCGGAUAGUCUUGGGAGGACAUAUGUCUUUCUUCGUAAAGGUGGGGAUCGUAAGACCUACCACUUGAGGAUGAGCCCGCGGCCUAUUAGCCAGUUGGCGGGGUAAUGGCCCACCAAAGCUUCGAUAGGUAGCCGGCCUGAGAGGGUGAACGGCCACAUUGGGACUGAGACACGGCCCAGACUCCUACGGGAGGCAGCAGUUAAGAAUAUUGCGCAAUGGGGGAAACCCUGACGCAGCGACGCCGCGUGGAUGAUGAAGGCCUUCGGGUUGUAAAAUCCGGUAAGUGGGGACGAAUAAGUGUAUGCUAAUACCAUGCAUGAUGACGGUACCCACCUAAAGCCCCGGCUAACUACGUGCCAGCAGCCGCGGUAAUACGUAUGGGGCGAGCGUUGUUCGGAAUUAUUGGGCGUAAAGGGCGUGUAGGCGGGAUAUUAAGUCGAGUGUGAAAGCUGUGGGCUCAACCCAUGAACUGCGCUUGAUACUGGUGUCCUUGAGUAAGGGAGAGGAGAGUGGAAUUCUCGGUGUAGCGGUGAAAUGCCUAGAUAUCGGGAAGAACACCGGUGGCGAA